rnacentral:misc_RNA from 1 species
AAGUCGUAACAAGGUUUCCGUAGGUGAACCUGCGGAAGGAUCAUUAACACGUUUCCACGUACUACCUCCGUGAAUUGUUUUCAAUCUACCUUCGCAUAGCGAGAAAUGAAUCGAGCCAGCUUCAGGAUUGAGUGGGCCUUGCAAUGUGCUUGUGCUGCUUGGGUCCGCUACUGAAUCCUUCGGGAUUCGACGAUUGUAUUCUUGUUGAAGGCAUUCUCAAUGGCUCUAUUCCCGUUGCGUCCAUUCAACGGGGGGGAUAGAGUCGCCCAAUAUUUUAACCACAUUCACCACUUUUUUGCUAGUUGACUUUUUUCAUGUGGAGACGUGCGCUCGUCGCUAUGCUCUACGCGUUUAAUUUAUUUGAACGAAAUCGUACAACUCUUAGCAAUGGAUAUCUCGGUUCUC